rnacentral:rRNA from 1 species
GACGAACGCUGGCGGCGUGCUUAACACAUGCAAGUCGAACGGAAAGGCUCCAGCUUGCUGGCGUACUCGAGUGGCGAACGGGUGAGUAACACGUGGGUAAUCUGCCCUGCACUCUGGGAUAAGCCUGGGAAACUGGGUCUAAUACUGGAUAUGACCUUUCUCCUUAUGGGGUUUGGUGGAAAGUUUUUCGGUGUAGGAUGAGCCCGCGGCCUAUCAGCUUGUUGGUGGGGUGAUGGCCUACCAAGGCGACGACGGGUAGCCGGCCUGAGAGGGUGAUCGGCCACAUUGGGACUGGGGUGCGGGCCAGACUCCUACGGGAGGCAGCAGUGGGAAAUAGUGCACGAUGGGCGGAAGCCUGAUGCAGCGACGCCGCGUGAGGGAUGACGGCCUUCGGGUUGUAAACCUCUUUCAGCAGGGACGAAGCGUAAGUGACGGUACCUGCAGAAGAAGCACCGGCUAACUAUGUG